GCCCGCCUAGCUCAAUCGGAUAGAGCGUCAGACUUUUACAACUAUGGCGGGUAUCUGAAGGCUGCGAGUUCGACCCUCGCGGUGGGCU